UCCUGCGCUGACUCACUAGGUCCAUCUUCAGCUUCUGACAUGUCCAGAGCAGAUUCUUCUUGGCACUCCUCCUUUUCUGCAGCUUCGUCUUCAUCAUCUUCAGACAUGUCCUCAGCUGACUGUUCUUCGUGCUCCUCCAUUUCUGCAGGUCCACCUUCAGCUUCAGACAUGUCCAGAGCUGAUUCUCCUUGCACUUCAUGCUCCUCUGGUUCUGCGGAUUCACUUGGACCAGCAGGAGAGUACGGAAAAACGGCAGACCUCUAGCUUAUCUUCAUUCACCCUAUGCCAGUUUGGAAGCAGACGAAAUUCUUCUGUCAACUUGAUGCACUCUCGUAAAUUUUCCGGCGAAACAAAGUCAAGUGCGACCUUUAUACAAGACUGCUCAAGAACAAAAACAGUUAACAAAAGGAGAAACACCACAGGGAUAAAGACUGCAUCACCAAGCUUCUGUUCAAAUGUCCAAGGCUCAACUCCUGCAUAUAUGCAGUGGACAAAGAACUAGGAAGUAAAUCACCGAGGGAAUAUUAAUUCUUCCAGAAGACAUCAUUAUUCUUAACUUACCAUAUUCUUCCUUAAGUUUCCUCUUGUGCUCAUUUGUUAGGUAAAAGCACUGAUCAUGUAUAGGGUGAAUAACCUGUCAAGAUGCAACAGUUACACGACAUGAGAAUAAGAAGCCAUAUGGCAUUUCAUGGUUAAAAGGUCAACAGACAGAGCUAAUCACC